UCAUGUACUUUAUCCUUGGUUGGAAGUCAAUAAACUCUUUGUUGCCCCUAGGGAGAGGCGCGGGCAUUGCACUGCCCUCGUGCUGACCCCUGCCACUACCCCAAACUGGGGAAGAUGGGGCAUGCAAUUUUUGGUAGUGGGGGACUGCGUUCGCGCUGUCCCCCU